rnacentral:rRNA from 1 species
AAUCCAUAGGUUAAUGAGGCGAACCGGGGGAACUGAAACAUCUAAGUACCCCGAGGAAAAGAAAUCAACCGAGAUUCCCCCAGUAGCGGCGAGCGAACGGGGAGGAGCCCAGAGCCUGAAUCAGCAUGUGUGUUAGUGGAAGCGUCUGGAAAGGCGCGCGAUACAGGGUGACAGCCCCGUACACAAAAGCGCAUGUGCUGUGAGCUCGAUGAGUAGGGCGGGACACGUGGUAUCCUGUCUGAAUAUGGGGGGACCAUCCUCCAAGGCUAAAUACUCCUGACUGACCGAUAGUGAACCAGUACCGUGAGGGAAAGGCGAAAAGAACCCCGGCGAGGGGAGUGAAAAAGAACCUGAAACCGUGUACGUACAAGCAGUGGGAGCCCCACCACUAAGCCAGUGGUGAACUCCACAUACGCAUCCUUUGCUGAGGAUACGGUUAACGGAGCGAAAGCGACGUUCAACCUCAAAAGAAGCAGAGGGGGCUUAGUGGUGGGGUGACUGCGUACCUUUUGUAUAAUGGGUCAGCGACUUAUAUUCUGUAGCAAGGUUAACCGAAUAGGGGAGCCGGAGGGAAACCGAGUCUUAAUUGGGCGUUAAGUUGCAGGGUAUAGACCCGAAACCCGGUGAUCUAGCCAUGGGCAGGUUGAAGGUUGGGUAACACUAACUGGAGGACCGAACCGACUAAUGUUGAAAAAUUAGCGGAUGACCUGUGGCUGGGGGUGAAAGGCCAAUCAAACCGGGAGAUAGCUGGUUCUCCCCGAAAGCUAUUUAGGUAGCGCCUCGUGAAUUCAUCUCCGGGGGUAGAGCACUGUUUCGGCUAGGGGGCCAUCCCGGCUUACCAACCCGAUGCAAACUGCGAAUACCGGAGAAUGUUAUCACGGGAGACACACGGCGGGUGCUAACGUCCGUCGUGAAGAGGGAAACAACCCAGACCGCCAGCUAAGGUCCCAAAGUCAUGGUUAAGUGGGAAACGAUGUGGGAAGGCCCAGACAGCCAGGAUGUUGGCUUAGAAGCAGCCAUCAUUUAAAGAAAGCGUAAUAGCUCACUGGUCGAGUCGGCCUGCGCGGAAGAUGUAACGGGGCUAAACCAU